CUUUUAAAACUCCUAACAAAACCCCCAAACAUAUGCGUAGUUUCUAAUCUAAUAGUUCAAAGCAAACACGAAUCUCUUUUGCUGUUUUUCGAAGACCCCACAAAUACGUCUUAAGAAUGAGUCCUACAAGGGAGUAGCAACGUAACAUCUUAUUUGGCAAUCGAGCUGGGGAAGAACAGCAGAACGGAAAGAAACGAAUUUUACUGUGUUCUCGGUCUUCUUCGCUCUUCGGUCUUCACCUGAGUAUUUCUCGAACCGUGAUUUCCUUCCUGUAAUUGUGUUUUGCUUCGAAAACAAGCUCGGUUGUGUUUAGCUCAUCAGAAACAGUAAUUCCGUCUCGGGAAUAGUGCUGUUCGUCUCUGAAAUUUCGUGAAUUUUGCGGUCCGAUUGAAGGUCGGAGAAGAAUAUCUCCGAUCCGAGCAAUGAUAACCCGGUCCAAGCUCGUUGAGCAACUCAGAGACCACCAGAUCCGUUCCCAACGCAAGUGUCCGGCUCUUACUGUCUUCUCCCCCAAACCCCAUUUCACUUCCUGGGUUGAUGUCACCGUGGCAAUCUUUUGGGCUCUAAUGUUUAGCAUGCUAGUCGUGUCAUCCUAUUUGUCCCUUUACUUAGGCCACAUUCGGAUUUCUUUUGUGGUAAUCUGCAUUGGUAUCUUUCUUCCUGUACGCCUAAGAAAAUCUAGGCAGUCCCUGGCCAGGAAGAAGGAGAGAAGACUGCUGUUACCAUUGUCUAUGUGAACAUCUGUGGCAGAGAAACUGUGCAGCCGUGUACGCCUCACUGCCCCUUUUGAGAUUAGAUGCAUACACAAAGGCAUGAAAAUAUUCCAAACACCAUUUCUUGAUCAAUGUAAACAGCAUAGGUUUUUUAACCUAGAGAAAAUGCAACUUCCUAUUAAUUUUCCCUUCAUGGGCUUGUAGAUUCAGUUGGGUUUCAGAAAUAUCUGUACUCAAAUAUUGUGCAGUUAAAGUGGUUGCAUAUUUAGAAGUUGAGGACACAGCCUCUAGACACGAGAGGUGAUACCAGCUUACAAAUGAAUAGUUGGCACUUUGAAUUUUUUAUGCA